rnacentral:rRNA from 1 species
AUACGAAGGGGGCUAGCGUUGUUCGGAAUUACUGGGCGUAAAGCGCAUGUAGGCGGACAUUUAAGUCAGGGGUGAAAUCCCGGGGCUCAACCUCGGAACUGCCUUUGAUACUGGGUGUCUAGAGUGUGGAAGAGGUAAGUGGAAUUCCGAGUGUAGAGGUGAAAUUCGUAGAUAUUCGGAAGAACACCAGUGGCGAAGGCGGCUCACUGGCUCGUAACUGACGCUGAGGUGCGAAAGCGUGGGGAGC